GUGUUCUCUCCUCCAACAUGCCAUACAAAAUCUCAUCCACCAGACAAAUCCUAAUCAUAGCACAUGCCCUUAUCUCCAAGGACAUCUAUUGCCUGUCGUUCAUCUCCUCCGAUCUAUCCUCCAAGACCAAAUCAGCCCCAUCUACACCAACAGAUCCUCCACCCUCACCUCCACAUGGUGAAACUUCCUUUAUCAUCAAACUUCUCAAAUCUCACCUUUACCCCACUGUUCUUCAUGAUCAACCCAGAUCGAAAAUAGCACACA
rnacentral:lncRNA from 1 species